rnacentral:rRNA from 1 species
GAUGAACGCUGGCGGCGUGCCUAAUACAUGCAAGUCGAACGAGGUGCUUUUGUAGCAAUACGAAAGUAUCCUAGUGGCGAACGGGUGAGUAACGCGUUGGUGACCUACCCCAAAGUGUGGGAUAACAGUUCGAAAGAACUGCUAAUACCGCAUGUGGUUAUCGGGUUUAGAAACUGAUAACUAAAGGAGCAAUUCGCUUUGGGAGGGACCUGCGUCCCAUCAGCUAGUUGGUGAGGUAACGGCUCACCAAGGCUACGACGGGUAGGGGACCUGAGAGGGUGGCCCCCCACAAUGGAACUGAAACACGGUCCAUACACCUACGGGUGGCAGCAGUAGGGAAUAUUGCUCAAUGGGCGAAAGCCUGAAGCAGCAACGCCGCGUGUGCGAUGAAGGCC